rnacentral:rRNA from 1 species
CAGUCGCCGCGGUAAUACGUAGGUGGCAAGCGUUGUCCGGAAUUAUUGGGCGUAAAGGGCUCGCAGGCGGUUUCUUAAGUCUGAUGUGAAAGCCCCCGGCUCAACCGGGGAGGGUCAUUGGAAACUGGGAAACUUGAGUGCAGAAGAGGAGGGUGGAAUUCCACGUGCAGCGGUGAAAUGCGUAGAUAUAUGGAGGAACACCAGUGGCGAAAGCGGCUCUCUGGUCUGUAACUGACGCUGAGGCUCGAAAGCGUGGGGAGCAAACAGGAUUAGAUACCCCAGUAGUCCCUGUCUCUUAUAC